rnacentral:lncRNA from 7 species
AAUGUAAAUACGUACAGCUUCUGACACCCCUGGAGGAAGUGAGCUCCUUCCAGCUGUAAAUCAGGGGUUGCAGUUCAGAUAUGAGAAACACUGGCCUAGGUCAUUACUUCCGGUCAGAAAGAGUGCAGAGGGACACAGAAGAGCUGUUAGUACCAUAAACCUGAUCACAGCAGUUUUCUGAAAGUACCUUCUAGCACUACUACAUCACUGAGCCUUUGGUCUGAGUUUCAAGGAGGAUUCAGAAUUAGUAGGGAAAAGAAGAAAUAACUACAACAGUGCUCAAAUAUUGCCUAGGUGGUACUGAAAGCAGCAUUGGAUCCAACAUGAAGCUAAUAUUACUACUUGGAUGGUGAAAGAAUGCCAUAUGUAACAAGUGCUCUGCUGUUUAGCUUGCAUGGAUAAUUGGGUUGGACAGAGCAACUGAUUGCAAUUCCAGUCCCUGGUGGCGGAUGCCUGAAUACUCAGCUCUUUAGGUGUCGUCUGCUUUGUGCAAAGGUGCUGUACUAGCUUUGAGGCUGAAUCAGGACAUGCAGAGUUUAUGCAGUCCAUUUAUUCUUUUGCCUCAUACCCACAUAGACAAUGACAAAGUGAAACAAGCAAUCUUGUUUGGGAGAGCUGCAGCUUUGCUAUUAGAAGUGUUGCGUAGAAACGAGAAAACUUAGCAGAGGAUUCAGUGUGACUCUUACCACAGAAAAUUCUAAUCACAACUUGGUAUGCUUAAUAUCCCCAACAAAAAUACUUCAUUACAUUCAAGCUCAUUGACUAAUGUUAUCUGAUUUACUGUCUCCUGCAUCCUUUGAUCCUGUCCUGUGCUUGGUGAUGUGACUGUAUCUGACGAGUUUCUUGUUCUAAAGAAAAACAUGGAGCAGAAGAGUGUUUGUGUGGCCACUUUGAAACUACCAGUACUAGCCCAAAGAAGUCGUGCUAUUGUUACAUCAUCAAGUCAGUCUUCUUCAUUGUAUUUCAUAAAAGGUUGUUGCUAAGUUAAUAUUGUUAACAUUUACUGUUAACUUUGAACUGGAAGUCCUAAAAGAACUUGAAGAACUGAUGAAAUCAAUAAUUUGUUGCAUUCUACAGUUAAAAGUAAGGGUGUUUUCUGCACCCCUGCUCAUUAAAGGUCAUAAAGC